AUAAAACACUCUGUUUCUUCCACUUCUAACAGCUCAUUAAGAGAAGCCACUACUAAAUCAUGUUCCUGCAGCAUUUCCGGGUAGCGGGACCCAGCUCGCUCAAUCCUUGCUGAACGCCGCACCGGGAGAAAGACAAGACUUUUCAGAUUCCGUCUUAUUGGCCAGUUCUGCUGUUGCUGUUAUAUUUGUCUCAGCAACUGAAGAGUCAGAGGUAACUCCUGUGUAUGCAAGGUCAAGAAGGAAAGUUUCUAGUUAAAGACGAUGGAUUGAAUAUAUAUUUGUUUCUAAUCCCCAUGGAAACUCUAGUGAAAUGAUAAUGGGAUUAAAGGAGGCAAUAACUACAAAGAAUAGAAGAAAUAGCAACAAGAUCUGGAAGCUAGAAUGUAGAAGGAAGAGGUAACCAACUUAACCAGCUUGAAAGAGCUGAAUCCUAAGCUGGCAAUGUGGCUGAGAAACGACAUGAUUCAACCCCAGGGCCUUUCUGAAAGGCUCAAGAAUGAAUGGUGGGGUCAAAAUCUGGAGGACUCUUGAGCAUCUGUUCAGCAGUCAGACCUGCAAGUCUUUUUUUUUUUUUUUUUUUAAGAUGUUAUUAAUUGAGAGACAGAGCACAAGCCGGGGAAGAGCUAGAGGCAGAGGGAGAGGGAGAAGCAGACUUCCUGCUGAGCGGGAAGCCCAAUGCGGGGCACAAUCCCAGGAUCUUGAGAUCAUGACCCAAGCCAAAGUCAGAUGCUUAACCAACUGAGCCACCCAGGUGCCCCUCCAAGUCUUUAUCCUAACAGAAAACUGAAGAUGUAUUUUCCAGGUCUCUGGGGAAUAUCAUGCACUAUUGAGGGUGGGGAUGCCCACUGAAAAAAAAGGUAAAUGAAAGUUUCCAUGCUGAAGGUUGAGACUCCCAGCUCUCUUCUCCCCCACAACACUAGUAGCCUGGUUUCCAGCUCCCAGGAAGAAACUGGAAGAUUCUUCUUUAGAGAAUAUGGCCAGUUCUAGAGGAAAGAUCUGAAGACACUGAUAAUGAGGGUUCUUCAACCAAUUGGCUCAGCCAGAUCACCCUAUGGUAAAACCUCAUUCAUGUGUCCAGAGCUUUUUCUUUCUUUUCUUUUCUUUUCUUUUCUUUCUUUUUUUUCUUUCUUUCUUUCUCUCAAGAUCUUAUUUAUUUGACAGAGAGAGACCCAGUGAGAGAGGGAACACAAGCAGGGGCAGUGGGAGAGGGAGAAGCAGGCCUCCCGCCAAGCAGGGAGCCCGAUGUGGGGCUCAAUCCCAGGACCCUGGGAUCAUGGCCUGAGCCGAAGGCAGAUGCUUAAAGACUGAGCCACCCAGGUGCCCCGUCCAGAGCUUUUUCAAAUCCACCUCUUUGUAUACAGCCCAGUUUUUACUGGAAUCUGAGUAGAGCCUUUCAUGAACAAUAGAAAACAAAAGAAAAUAAAACUACCACUACCAUCAAUAAUAACACAAAACAGAGAGAAGAAAAGCAUUGGGGUGGGAGGGGCGCCUAGGUGGCUCAGUGGGUUAAGUGUCAGACUCUUGGUUUCAGCUCAGGUCAUGAUCUCAUAGGUCAUGGGAUUAAGUCCCGAGUCAGGCUCUGUGCUCAGCAGGAGCCUGCUUGAAGAUUCUCUCCCUCUGCCCCUCCCCCAUGCACACAUGCACGCUCUUUCAAAUAAAAAUAAUAAAAUUAAAACAAAACCAAAAUAAAACCACCACCCUCCCCCCCCCACUACCACCAACAAUGAAAAACAGAGAGAAGAAAAGCACUGGAGAAGAAAAACAGACAACACAGAUGGAAAUGGGAAUGUGAGGGUGAUGGUGAAAGGCCCCAGGAUGACAUGCAAAGACGGUGGUAAAGAGCAACCUGUCGAGACUGGAACAUGUCACAAAGUUCUGGGAGAAGGGUCUCUAAGAAAAAGAAAUCGAUAGGCUAUCUGAUGUUUUAAAAGUAUUGAGAAAUUUUGGACCUCAUCAAGAUGAAAAGCUUCUGCACAGCGGAGGAAACAAUCAACAAAACUAAAAGGCAACCAAUGGAAUGGGAGAAGAUAUUUGCAAAUGACAUAUCUUAUAAAGGAUUAGUAUCCAGAAUCUAUAAAGAACUCAUCAAAAUCAACACCCCAAAAAUAAAUAAUCCAAAUAAGAAAUGGGCAGAAGACACGAACAGACAUUUCUCCAAAGAAGACAUACAAAUGGCUAAGAGAUACAUGAAAAAAUGCUCAACAUCACUUGGCAUCAGGGAAAUACAAAUCAAAACCACAAUGAGAUACCACCUCCCCACCUGUAAGAAUGGCUAAAAUUAACAACUCAGGAAAUAAUAGUUGUUGGUGAGGAUAUAGAGAAAGGGGAACCAUUUUGAAUUGUUGGUGGGAAUGCAAGCUGGUAAAGCCAUUCUGGAAAACAGUAUGGAGAUUCCUCAAAAAGUUAAAAAUAGAACUACCCUAAAACCCAGCAAUUGUACUAUUGGGUAUUUAUCCAAAGGAUACAAAAAUGUUGACUCAAAGGGGCACAUGGACCCCGAUGUUUAUAGCAGCACUAUCUGCAAUAGCCAAAUUAUGGAAAGAGCCCAAAUGUCCAUCAACUUAUGAAUGCAUAAAGAAGAUGUGGUAUAUAUAUGCACAAUGGAAUAUUACCCAGCCAUCAAAAAGCAUGAAAUCUUGCCAUGUGCAACAACGUGGAUGGAACUAGAGUGUAUUAUGCUAAGUGAAAUAAGUUAAGUCAGAGAAAGACAAAUAUCAUAAGAUUUCACUCAUAUGUAGAAUUUAAGAAACCAAACAGAUGAACAUGGGGGAAGGGAAGAAAAAAUAAAAUAAGAUGAAAACAGAGAGGGAGGCAAACCGUAAGUGACUCUUAACUAUAGAGAAUAAACUGAGGGUUGCUGGAGGGGUGGUGGGUGGAGGGAUGGGUUA